rnacentral:rRNA from 1 species
UACGUAGGUCCCGAGCGUUGUCCGGAUUUAUUGGGCGUAAAGCGAGCGCAGGUGGUUUAUUAAGUCUGGUGUAAAAGGCAGUGGCUCAACCAUUGUAUGCAUUGGAAACUGGUAGACUUGAGUGCAGGAGAGGAGAGUGGAAUUCCAUGUGUAGCGGUGAAAUGCGUAGAUAUAUGGAGGAACACCGGUGGCGAAAGCGGCUCUCUGGUCUGUAACUGACGCUGAGGUUCGAAAGCGUGGGUAGCAAACAGG